GUGUCAGACCUGUAGCAUGUACAAGGGUGCAGCCACGACCCAGCACUACACCCUGCCAGUUCUCAGUCUAUGGUUGUAAGAGAGAGGUGGCAGUGUGUGGCGGGAUUUGGUCAUUCUUUAACCCACUGUGAUUAUUUCCGUGUCUACGAUGAUGUCUCUGGGAUAUUGGCAUCGCUAUUGAUGUCGAAGCCCCAACCAGAGCAACUGGCACCCGACACCGGAUACCUCCAGCACAGCAACAACCAGAGCAACUGGCACCCGACACCGGAUACCUCCAGCACAGCAACAACCAGAGCAACUGGCACCUGACACCGGCUACCUCCAGCACAGCAACAACCAGAGCAACUGGCACCUGACACCGGAUACCUCCAGCACAGCAACAACCAGAGCAACUGGCACCUGACACCGGCUACUUCCAGCACAGCAACAACCAGAGCAACUGGCACCCGACACCGGAUACCUCCAGCACAGCAACAACCAGAGAAACUGGCACCCAACACUGGCUACCUCCAGCACAGCAACAACCAGAGAAACUGGCACCCGACACUGGCUACCUCCAGCACAGCAAUAACGUUCAACCUGCUGACUCCACACCUGCCACUAGUGUAAAACUCAAGUCACAUCUAACCAAGGUGGUGGUUAGAGGUAAUCUUCAGGUCUUCACAAUGGAGUGAAUGAGGAUGGGUAUGGAGUGAAUAAUAGAUACUCUAGUGCUGAAGUAUAAACAGAACUCGCUCCAGGAAUGGAUGAUUUGGUACAGAAUGACCUCACUGAAUGGAUAACCUGGAACAACAAUCUCCAGGUAUGGAUGACCUGGAGGAGAACAUAUCCGGGAUGAAUAACCCGGGUUAGUGUAUAAUCUUAUAUACGAUCUUUCAAAAUGUUUCAGCGGCUGACUCCAAGAAUGCAUCAGCAGCCAACUCCAGUAAUGAAAUUAGGGUAUAUAGGGAAGAUCAUGGCGAAUUCUGGCCUGACGAAGGCGUAGGGGUCCGGGUACUCUUUGGUACCGAUAUUGUAGCAUCGGACAGGUAAGCGUCUGUGAGCUAAGAAGUUAGUGGCGCUUUUGACUUCAGCCAAGGAAACCAUCACCAUCACUGAAAUACCACACAGGAGCCUCAUCUUGCCUUGUGGCUGGAUAACCUGUCAAAUAUAAAGCUGAAAGUUAAUCAGUGUUAUAGAAAAGCGUUUUUUUUUUUAUUACUAAUAGGAAAAUUAAAAGAAGUAUCGACGAAACUCGACUCGCCACGAAAAGAAAGUUACUAUGAGGCUGAGAACACUUAAAACUGACACCGCUAAACAACUUAAAAUAUGGUUAAAAUUUUAGGUUAAAAAGCCUACAGUUGUAAACUCAAAUUGCACCGACAGGAUGAAAAAAAAAAUCAAAACUGAGCUAGUCAACGAGCACGGAACAAUAAGUUGGUACAAAAAGGUAAACAAAUAACAAUAAACUUU